rnacentral:rRNA from 1 species
GACGAACGCUGGCGGCGUGCUUAACACAUGCAAGUCGAACGCUGAAGCCCUGGCUUUUGUUGGGUGGGAUGAGUGGCGAACGGGUGAGUAACACGUGAGUAACCUGCCCUCUUCUUUGGGAUAACGCCCGGAAACGGGUGCUAAUACUGGAUAUUCACUGAUCUUCGCAUGGGGGUUGGGGGAAAGGUUUGUUCUGGUGGGGGAUGGGCUCGCGGCCUAUCAGCUUGUUGGUGGGGUGAUGGCCUACCAAGGCUUUGACGGGUAGCCGGCCUGAGAGGGUGACCGGUCACAUUGGGACUGAGAUACGGCCCAGACUCCUACGGGAGGCAGCAGUGGGGAAUAUUGCACAAUGGGCGAAAGCCUGAUGCAGCGACGCCGCGUGAGGGAUGGAGGCCUUCGGGUUGUAAACCUCUUUCGCUCAUGGUCAAGCCGCAACUGUGGGUUGUGGUGAGGGUAGUGGGUAAAGAAGCGCCGGCUAACUACGUG